GCAAUCACCACUUUUGACCAGACUGCAACAGCUCUCCCACCAGCAGGCAUUGGUACCAGGACAUUUCAUUCUGGAACACUACAGAAACAGCCUCCCACACAAUAAAUCAUGGGAGAACCGAAUGCAAGGUCUCUGAGGCAAUUUCCCUGGACAGCAACAAUCUCUCUGUUCCAUUUGGAAAACAUGGAAAAACUUCACAAGUCAAGGAAAAAAACAAGUAGGAACAGACAGAACAUAUGCUGUUAAAUGUGGGAGGGUGGAGAGAGUACUUCCUUUGGCCCACAUGAGGAGGAAAGAGCUGAUUAGCAGGGCCGAUGGAAUACAGGACUCGUCCAGCUUGGUACAUGCAGAUAAGAUCUGACACUGCAAGACCUCAGACUACCUGGCUGAGGGAGAACAGUCAGCCAGCAGGAAGCACCAAGUGAUGGGAAAGGAAAAUUUGGCAAUGGUCAGGGAAGAUUCUACUUGCAAAAGAAAAAGAAAAGUCUCCUUUGGAUCGUGACAGCCAGGUCAUGGCUGAUUUAGAGACAGCAGCAAAAAAGCCAUCUGAAGGCCAGUCCAACCAACUCUGCAGACCUCAGUGCUGUGACUUGGCACAGCAAGCCCAUGCCAUAGGUAUACAAGAUUUACAACAAACUGGAAAUACCCAGCAUCUGCUCAGCAAUAACAAGAUCAGCAGCCAUAUGUGAUUUGAAGCCAAGGCCUAAAGAAGCCCCACCUUUCUCCCCCCAAACAGGUUUUACGAACUCUGUUUCCAAAGGAGAGGGAUUUUACAAUGACAACAACAGCAGGAAUGAGGAUAUAACUAAGCAAAGAGAUUGGACAACUGAGAAUAUAAUUCGCAAUAAAAGAGCUUAUGAGCUACUUCCAAUGGCAUUUACAGAAUCUCCGCUCAGGGAUUCUUACACUGAUGUCAAUUCACAGAUCCUGCACUACAGACAAACUCCCCUUAAAAAGUUUGCAUAUACAGAUGUUUUAAAAUACUUAAUGACAUAGU